GAAAAAGAAAAUGUUAACCCUGAAUUGAGGUUAUACGGCGAAAAUUUUCCGGCGACUCACGGCACCAAUUCUCUCGCCACCUUCUUCUUGCUUCCACUUCGCGAUUUGAGUUUCUGAAAACAAGCUGUUUCAAUUCGGAGCUCUUUUCAACUUGGUGGCUCGGUGGAUAUGGUUUCUGUUGGUUCGAAAGCUCUAGCUUCUAGGCGACAUAGAAGCUCUAUUUCAGUUGAAGACUGCUCAAUGGGUGAGGAUAAAUCAACGUAUAAAAGCGCGAGAAGGAAAAAUGGCAUGAGUAGGAAGGCUGAACGAGGAGGUCAUGGUGGCUUUGAUCGGAAUGACACCCGCCAGAACGCGUUUGGGAUGAUAGAUGGUGGAAGCCUGAACGCUGAAAAAAAGUUUUCGAAGAUGAAAAGUACUUCCACACCUCAAACUUCAUUCAUUAGGAAGCAGGUUGAUCCCGAAACAACAAAAUACUUCACAGAGAUUUCUAAUUUAUUUGAAAGUGAUACGGUUGAUUUUGAAGAACGAUCGGUUAUAUGUGGUAAUGCUCUAGCGGAAGCUGAGGGGAAGGAAUUCGAACUUGCCACUGAUUAUAUCCUAAGUCACACUAUGCAAAGUCUUCUUGAAGGCUGUAAUGUUGGUGACCUUUGCAAUUUCCUCCACGGCUGUGCCAAGCAGUUUCCAUCUAUUGCCAUGGAUAGAUCUGGCUCACAUGUUGUUGAAACAGCUAUCAAGUCUUUAGCUAUGCACCUACAAGACAAAGAUGUUUAUCCUUUGGUUGAAGAUACGUUAACUGUGAUAUGUAAGGAAAUUGUAUCCAAUCCUCUGGAUGUGAUGUGUAACUGCUAUGGUUCUCAUGUUCUCCGUAGCCUUCUUCAUCUCUGUAAAGGAGUAAGUCUAGAGUCUUCAGAGUUUCAUAGCAGAAAAUCAUCUAAAGUGCUAGCAGAGCGGUUGAAUAUCAAGGCACCUCGGCCUAAUGAAGAUAGUGGAUUCCAUAUAGGCUUCCCGGAAUCACUGAAGCUGCUUGUCUUUGGGUUGCUAAAGGGUGCAAGAAAAGAUGUCAGGAUCCUGCAAGUUGAUCAGUUCGGCAGUUUGGUUAUUCAGACUAUUCUGAAGUCAUUGGUGGGGCAAGACGAUGAGCUCAGUCAUAUAAUUCCCAUCCUCCUUGGCUGUAGCGAGAAAGAUUCUGUUGAAGGAAAUUAUAUACAAAUAUCUGUUGUUCGAGAUGUUAUAAAUUUGAUGAAAGAGACCGCCUUUAGUCAUUUAAUGGAGGUGAUUUUGGAAGUGGCUCCAGAAAACAUAUUCAAUGAACUCUUCACAAUAGUUUUCAAGAAUUCAUUGCUCGAGUUGUCAUCUCAUCCCUGUGGAAACUUUGCUGUCCAAGCACUAAUUUCUAACAUAAAAUAUAAACAUCAAAUGGAGUUGCUAUGGUCAGAAAUUGGAACAAAAGUUGGAGAUCUUCUUGAUAUGGGAAGGUCAGGAGUUGUCGCUUCUCUAAUUGCUGCAAGUCAGAGGCUUCAAACACAUGAGCAGAAGUGUUGUGAAGCUCUUGUUCGUGCUGUAUGUUCAACUGAUGAAUCUCCAGGAUGCAUUAUUCCUCGAAUAUUGUAUGUUGACAGAUAUUUCUCAUGUGGAGAUAAAGCCAAAUGGGAUUUUCCUAGUGGAGUUAAAAUACAUGUCAUGGGCUCUCUAAUCCUGCAGACAGUUUUUCGUUAUCGAAGUGAACUGAUUCAACUUUUCAUUACAAGUAUCACAUCAAUGGAAUCCAAUCAUCUUCUUGAAGUAGCAAAAGACUCCAGUGGAGCUCGUGUUAUUGAAGCUUUUUUAAAUUCUGACGCCCCUGCAAAACUGAAGCGCAGAUUAGUUAUGAAGCUACGAGGACAUUUUGGAGAGCUUGCAAUGCAGUCAUCAAGUUCCUUUACAGUUGAAAAGUGCUAUAAUUCCAGUAACUUGUCUCUACGGGAGGCCAUUGUUUCUGAGUUGGCAGCUUUACAAAGCGAUCUCUCCAAAACCAAGCAAGGAACUCAUCUCUUGAGGAAGUUGGAUGUUGAAGGGUAUGCAUCCCGACCUGACCAAUGGAGGUCAAAACAAGCAUCAAGGGAAUCAGCUUACAAAGAAUUUCAUGAUACAUUCGGGUCUGGAAGAUCCAAAUCACUGAAGACUGAGUUCCUUGCCGAUAGUUCGAAGCAUACAUCACGCCCAAAGGAUGUGAAGACAAUUAUGCAAGAGAUUGGGCAUCACCCAACUUCUGACAUCCCUUUUCUAUCAAUGUCUGGCUUCAAGGGCAAGUCAGAAAAGGGCAAGCAGGGUGGUAAAACAUAUUCCAGACCUUCCACAGAUAAUAAUAUUUUUGAUGGGAGAAAGAAAAGUUCCAAACGGAAACGGAAUAACGAUCAGUCUGAGAAUGCUGAGGCAGGCAAAAGGAAACGGAAAGUGUAGCUACGAUCCCAAACCAAUCCUUGUACACUGCAGCAGUCGCAAAAGCAUUGACUGGCAAAAAAAGUCUUAAAAAAUAAGCUGUAGGAAGUGCAGUAAAUUGUAGCUUAGGAGUUUUCACCAGGAAAGUGGGAACUUGAUGAUGAUGUGGAUUGUCUAUUUUUAGAUACAGUUUUUGGAGUUGUGGCAUAGGCUUUCAAGCAAUAUAGAGGAAAUUUCCUUUCUUUUUUUGGUGGGGUGGGAGAAGAUAUUCUGAUGCAGCAUAUACCACACAAGAUCUUGGAAGUGACCAGGCCAAUAUUAGAGAAUUAUGAGAGGUCAGUAAUCAAAGCUUUCUCCUGGAAAAUAUGGUUCUUCCUGUCGGAUAUCUCUUGUAUCUUUCUGCCAACCACACCUAAAUUCACUGUCCAAGAUUUUGCUGUCUGUUAAGUGCAACAAGAGAUGGCCACAACUCAUUCUGAAUCAAAUUCACUUUUGUCUCUCUUGUCUCUGUCUCCCUGUACGACGAUUAAUCCGGGUUUUUCAAUGGCAACAGCCGGACUAUGGAGGUCACAGUCUCUGGCUUGGAACAAAGAAUGAUAUAUUCAGGGAAGUGAGAUUGUUGCCGAUUCUUCUCUCUCUGCUCAGAAGCCUUUUCAACGUUUUCAAUCUGGAUGUCACCACUGAUUUCAUCUCUUCACCGGCGGAACGGCCGCUGGUGCCGGAGGAC